GGUGCCGUACUCAAGUGGCUAAGGGAAAGGUUUGCAAGACCUUAUACAGUGGUUCGAAUCCACUCGGCGCCU
rnacentral:tRNA from 1 species